rnacentral:rRNA from 1 species
AUCAACUUUCGAUGGUAGGAUAGAGGCCUACCAUGGUGGUAACGGGUAACGGGGUGUUAGGGCACGACACCGGAGAGGGAGCCUGAGAAACGGCUACCACAUCCAAGGAUGGCAGCAGGCGCGCAAAUUACCCAAUCCCGACACGGGGAGGUAGUGACAAUAAAUAACAAUACGGGGUUCUUUAGGAUCUCGUAAUUGGAAUGAGUACAAUUUAAAUCUCUUAACGAGGAACAAUUGGAGGGCAAGUCUGGUGCCAGCAGCCGCGGUAAUUCCAGCUCCAAUAGCGUAUAUUAAAGUUGUUGCAGUUAAAAAGCUCGUAGUUGAAUUUCGAGACCGGCUUACUGGUCGUGCUAUUGUACGUACUGGUAUAAUCGGUUUCUCCUUUCUGACGAACUAUAAUGCCAUUAAUUUGGUGUUUUAGGGAAUCAGGACUGUUACUUUGAAAAAAUUAGAGUGUUUAAAGCAGGCUCACGCUUGAAUACAUUAGCAUGGAAUAACGGAAUAGGACGUUUGAUUCUAUUUUGUUGGUUUCUAGGAUCGACGUAAUGAUUAAUAGGGAUAGUUGGGGGCAUUAGUAUUCAAUUGUCAGAGGUGAAAUUCUUGGAUUUAUUGAAGACUAACUACUGCGAAAGCAUUUGCCAAGGAUGUUUUCAUUAAUCAAGAACGAAAGUUAGGGGAUCGAAGACGAUCAGACACCGUCGUANUCUUAACCAUAAACUAUGCCGACUAGGGAUCGGAUGAUGUUAAUUUUUUAAUGACUCAUUCNGCGCCUUACGGGAAACCAAANUGUUUGGGUUC